rnacentral:rRNA from 1 species
GAUGAACGCUGGCGGCGUGCCUAAUACAUGCAAGUCGAGCGAACAGACGAGGAGUUUGUUCCUCUGUCGUUAGCCGCGGACGGGAGUGUAACACGUGGAUAACCUACCUAUAAGACUGGGAUAACUUCGGGAAACCGGCGCUAAUACCGGAUAAUAUAUUGAACCGCAUGGUUCAAUAGUGAAAGUCGGCUUUGCUGUCACUUCUAGCUGCAUCCGGGCCGCAUUAGCUAGUUGGUCAGGUAACGGCUUAGCAAGGCAACGAUGCGUAGCCGACGUGAGAGAGUGAUCGGCCACACUAGAAGGGGGCCGCCGACCUGGGGCCUAAGGGAGGCAGCAGUCGCGAAUGGUCGGCAGUAGUCGGAAAUCUUACGGAGUGGCGCCGCGUGAGUUAUGGAGAUCCUCGGAGCGUAAAACCCUGUUAUUGGUGGAGAACCAAUUUGUAAGUUACUAUACCCGUCUUGACGGUACCUGGUCAGGAAGCCACGGCUAACUACGUG